AUCUUCCCAGAUACAGCCCGAUAAUCUUCCAAGAUACACGAUCCUCCACAUAUAAAAUCGCCCACCACCGAUGGUCAUGUCUUUGGCUGCCUUGGCACUAAACUCUGGACCUCACUUCCAAAAUCGAUUUGAUCAAGCCUUUAGUCAUUUGUCCUAAUAUCUCCUUAUGUAACUUGACGUCGAUUUUUUGACAAUCCCUCCAUUAAGGCUGUGGGGUGUUCCAAGAAAAUGGUCUGUAUCGCAAUGCUCCAUAAUGAGAAGCAGCAUUAUAUUCACAUAUUAAAAUAAUGCAAAUUGAAAAAAAUUUAUAAAAAUUGUGUUUAUUUACUUUAUCCCCAUCUAAAUUUCAAGAGAGCAAAUUUUAUUAGGUAGACA